rnacentral:rRNA from 1 species
GAUGAACGCUAGCGGCAGGCUAAUACAUGCAAGUCGAGGGGCAGCAUGGUGUAGCAAUACACUGAUGGCGACCGGCAAACGGGUGCGGAACACGUACAGAACCUUCCUUCGAGCGGGGAAUAGCCCAGAGAAAUUUGGAUUAAUACCCCAUAGUAUAUUGAAAAGGCAUCUUUUUAAUAUUAAAGAUUUAUCACUUGAAGAUGGCUGUGCGGCUGAUUAGGUAGUUGGCGGGGUAACGGCCCACCAAGCCUGCGAUCAGUAACUGGUGUGAGAGCACGACCAGUCACACGGGCACUGAGACACGGGCACGACUCCUACGGGAGGCAGCAGUAAGGAAUAUUGGUCAAUGGACGAAAGUCUGAACCAGCCAUGCCGCGUGGAGGAUGAAGGUCCUCUGGAUUGUAAACUUCUUUUAUAUGGGACGAAAAAAGGCUUUUCUAAGUCGUCUGACGGUACCAUAUGAAUAAGCACCGGCUAACUCCGUGCCAGCCGCCGCGGUAAUAC